rnacentral:rRNA from 1 species
UACGGAGGGGGCUAGCGUUGUUCGGAAUUACUGGGCGUAAAGCGCACGUAGGCGGCUUUGUAAGUUAGAGGUGAAAGCCCGGGGCUCAACUCCGGAAUUGCCUUUAAGACUGCAUCGCUAGAACGUCGGAGAGGUGAGUGGAAUUCCGAGUGUAGAGGUGAAAUUCGUAGAUAUUCGGAAGAACACCAGUGGCGAAGGCAGGUCUCUGGGCAACAACUGACGCUGAGGAACGAAA